CUACCGGUCUGGCUGCUUCCACAGCCAGGUCUCGAAGCCCCGGCGAGUAGGAGGGUCGCGGUGGUGUGCGCUGAAGGGUUCGGCGUGAGCCGGCCUGGAGCCUCCACCGGUGCAGAUCUUGGUGGUAGUAGCAAAUAAUCGAGAGAGACUCCCUUGAAGGCCGAAGUGGAGAAGGGUUCCAUGUGAACAUCAGUUGGACAUGGGUUAGUCGCUCCUAAGCCCAAGGCGAAGGCCUGAUCCCACGCUAGAGGCAACGACCACACGCAAGCGAC
rnacentral:rRNA from 1 species